UCCUACGGGGGGCAGCAGUGGGGAAUAUUGGACAAUGGGCGCAAGCCUGAUCCAGCCAUGCCGCGUGAGUGAUGAAGGCCCUAGGGUUGUAAAGCUCUUUCACCGGUGAAGAUAAUGACGGUAACCGGAGAAGAAGCCCCGGCUAACUUCGUGCCAGCAGCCGCGGUAAUACGAAGGGGGCUAGCGUUGUUCGGAAUUACUGGGCGUAAAGCGCACGUAGGCGGAUAUUUAAGUCAGGGGUGAAAUCCCGGGGCUCAACCCCGGAACUGCCUUUGAUACUGGGUAUCUAGAGUAUGGUAGAGGUAAGUGGAAUUCCGAGUGUAGAGGUGAAAUUCGUAGAUAUUCGGAGGAACACCAGUGGCGAAGGCGGCUUACUGGACCAUUACUGACGCUGAGGUGCGAAAGCGUGGGGAGCAAACAGGAUUAGAUACCCCUGUAGUC
rnacentral:rRNA from 1 species